rnacentral:rRNA from 1 species
GGUGAGUAACACGUGGAUAACCUACCUAUAAGACUGGGAUAACUUCGGGAAACCGGAGCUAAUACCGGAUAAUAUUUUGAACCGCAUGGUUCAAAAGUGAAAGACGGUCUUGCUGUCACUUAUAGAUGGAUCCGCGCUGCAUUAGCUAGUUGGUAAGGUAACGGCUUACCAAGGCAACGAUGCAUAGCCGACCUGAGAUGGUGAUCGGCCACACUGGAACUGAGACACGGUCCAG